AUUCGGUGUAUUCUUCCCGCAGGUUUUCUGAACUUCUUCGCGAGCUCUCUGCUGCCAGACGGGAUGCAACGACAAAAGAAUCAUUGUCCAGAUACGGAGCUCACCUGUAUCCUGGAAUAUAAGGUACACGGGCAGCUUCAAUGGCCAGUUCAGCUUGUUCCUUUUGUAGUUCGAAAAUCCUCUUCCCUUCUUCGAAGCUACUUCCGAAGGCAGUUCGUGAAAUGACAUCCCCCCUAGUUGCAAAAGCUGGCACCAUCCUCUGCAAAGGAAAAAUAAUGGUAAACUGACCGAGAUAUCAGUCCACAGACACGAGGCGUG